GAGAACGGCCGUUGCUGCCGCCAGCAUGGGAACUUUGUACCGUGUCCCAUUCUUAGUGCUUGAAUGUCCCAACCUGAAGCUGAAGAAGCUGCUCUGGCUGCACACGCCGUUGGCCAUGACUGUGUAUGCUCUGGUGGUGGUGUCUUACUUCCUCAUCACCAGAGGAAUCGUUUAUGAUGUUGUUGUUGAACCGCCAGGUGUUGACUUUAUGACUGAUGAACAAAGGCAUCAGAGGCCAGUAGCUUUCUUGGCCUACAGAGAAGGUGGACAACAUAUUACGGAAGGACUUGCAUCCAGCUUCCUGUUUACAAUGGGAGGUUUAGGUCUCAUAAUCCUGGAUCAAUCGAAUACACCAAAUAUCCCAAAACUCAAUAGAUUUAUUCUUCUAUUCAUUGGAUUUGUCUGUGUCCUAUUGAGUUUUUUCAUGGCUGGAGUAUUCGUGAGAAUGCAACUGCCGGGCUAUUUGAUGGGUUAGAGUGCCUUUGAGAAGAAAUCAGUGGAUCCUGGAUUUGCUCCUGUCAAUGACGUGUUAAAGGCUGUCCAAUCCUCUAAUAUGAGAUGUAGAAAAGAAGGAACAGCAGCAGUAAAAGAAAUAUCUAGUGAGAACACAGGAAGUGUAUUGAAGCUUGGACGAGAAUUUCUUCUUGGUAUUAAAGAGACAAGUUUAUCACAGUAUUUUUUUUUCCUGCUGAGCAUAUUGCUAUACCAACGAUGAUGAGUGGCAUGUUGUUCUUAGUUUUUCAUAAAAUAUACUCCAUACCUACAACUAUAAUAGCAAAUAAAGUGAUUAUUUUUUACAACCCCCUUAACAUUUUUUGGAGGUGACGUUUCUGAUUUUCAGAAAUUAACAUAAAGUCAAGAAGCAAGAUUCCAUGAGCUGAGAACUCUGGACAGCCGGUCAGCUUUACCUAUGGUGCUUUGGCUUUAACUAGAGUGUGUGAUGGUGGAUUAUUUCAGAUAGGUGUGUAAGACUGUUUCCUGAACAAUAACAUAUAUGAAAGGAGCAGAAAUAAAUAC